CCAAAAUUUGAGUCGCAUUCAGGAGGGACAGACAUUUGGACAGCCGUGUAUGAAUGCCAUAUGACCACUUAGAAUGUGGGCGGAUCCCGCCUCAACUG